CCCUCUGAGGAAGACCGUGGUACACUGUACAAGGUGGCCAGCUUCUUCUCAGCCACUGGAAUGAUGGCUUUGGCGGGUAGUGAAACAUCUUCUGGCCAUCUCCAAGCAUCCCUCACGUUUGUGCCCCAUAGCCUGGUUGGAGUGAAGCCAGAGCAACUCAACAGGCCAUGCAUGGGGAAGGGAGCAGAUGGCCUUGCUGCAUCCAGUACCUCCAGUACUGAAGUCACUGGACUGGUCUCAUUCCCCGGUCAUUUUCCCAUGUGGAUUCAGUUCAGCCUCUAGUCCUCAGACCCUCCAGCUAGCGCAGGUAGGACAAAAAGUUUACUUCCUGCAGAAAACCAUGACUCUGCCCUCAGAAAGGCUGGAAAGCCCAAGCCUGGGACAAUUCAGCAGCCACAGGUUGAGGUGCCUCAGCGAGGGACGCACACAGGAAUAAAUACUGGAGAAUCACUGUUCCUAAAAUGAUCCUUCAUUUGUUGGCUGCUGGUCGCAACCACUGACCUCAGAGCAUUAAUAAUCCUGAAGGGCUCUGGAGGCUUUUUGGCAUGUGCAUUUUAAUGUAAUAAGCUUUGGCAUCUGAAAUGUUUUUUCCCUUCUUGGCUUCUCCUUUGGGCUUGGAAACAACAGGGUCAGCUCAGUCUUCGAGCAAAAGGAUGAAGACAACCCUCACUUUAAUGCGCAGAAUUAUAUCAUCAGCGGCCAGAGGUCACAUCCUGCUGUCUUUAUAAAGAUAACUCCAGCCCCCUCUCUUUUUCCCCAGUCUUUUAUAAACCUGGCUCAACCCAUACCCCAUAGCAGCAGGACUACACAGAGCAACAUCUUGGAUUAGUUACGAGCUUUUCAGAUGCGCUCCAACUCAUAUUUCAUAUCAUCCCCCCCCCCCAGCCAUAAGAUCUGAGUUUGUCACAUUUACUGGAGACUGAAGUACAAACAUGUUUUAUUCAUUAUCUGUCCUCUUCUUCGCAACAAGCACCUGCAAAACAUUUCAGCUCUAGACCGGAUCAACAAGGCUUCAUUAGGCAUGACACUUUCUCCCUGGCUUGGAUGAUGAAGCUACACUUUAUCCUUGCACUUCUAGUCUGUAAAAUUGCCCAGAGAUCAUCACCUUAGAAGAAGGCAGACACUCAAGGCCUCGUGACUGAGGUGGAGAAAAAGAGGUUGAGGUAAUUACACAGCCCUGAUUGCUGUGAGCUGAGGGACAUGGAGCUAUUUCAGCCUUGUUGCACCACAGCUCUGCUUUAUCAGCAGCAGAAUGGAGGAUCCCAGCUUUUGCACAGUCUCAGACAGGGAGUUUGCAAGCCCUUGGGAGCAGCCUCUAUUUUUAUCUCUAUUUUAAUCAGUGGUCAAUAUUGGAGAAGUGAUUCAACUCUCUUUGCCAACUGCAGCCCCAUCCUUUCCUUUUUGCCAGCUCUUCCCUCUUGGUUGAUGAAUAUUUAUUAGAUGCAAAGCAGAAAAACUUCACCAAGAGAGGCAAAGAAGCUCUUUUCCCUGCAAAAUCCAGCAGCUUGGGGUAAGCCUUGGAAAAACAGGAGUAACAAG